CCUACGGGAGGCAGCAGUGAGGAAUAUUGGUCAAUGGACGAGAGUCUGAACCAGCCAAGUAGCGUGAAGGAUGACUGCCCUAUGGGUUGUAAACUUCUUUUAUAUGGGAAUAAAAUGUUCCACGUGUGGGAUUUUGUAUGUACCAUAUGAAUAAGCAUCGGCUAACUCCGUGCCAGCAGCCGCGGUAAUACGGAGGAUCCGAGCGUUAUCCGGAUUUAUUGGGUUUAAAGGGAGCGUAGGUGGAUGGUUAAGUCAGUUGUGAAAGUUUGCGGCUCAACCGUAAAAUUGCAGUUGAAACUGGCAGUCUUGAGUACAGUAGAGGUAGGCGGAAUGCGUGGUGUAGCGGUGAAAUGCUUAGAUAUCACGAAGAACUCCGAUUGCGAAGGCAGUUCACUGGACUGCAACUGACACUGAGGCACGAAAGUGUGGGUAUCAAACAGGAUUAGAUACCCCAGUAGUC
rnacentral:rRNA from 1 species